rnacentral:rRNA from 1 species
GACAGAGGGUGCGAACGUUGUUCGGAAUUACUGGGCGUAAAGCGCGUGUAGGCGGCAGCGCAAGUCGGGCGUGAAAUCCCACGGCUCAACCGUGGAAGUGCACUCGAAACUGCGCAGCUAGAGUCCUGGAGAGGAAGGUGGAAUGCUUGGUGUAGAGGUGAAAUUCGUAGAUAUUCGCAAGAACACCAGUGGCGAAGGCGACUCACUGGACAUGUAUUGACGCUGAGGUGCGAAAGCGUGGGGAGCAAACAGG